GCACUGGCAAAAUCCAGUGCUCGGGAUUGGCGUUCCGAAAUCACAGCGGAUACAGAUGCCGCUUUACUGCGGUUUUUUU
rnacentral:sRNA from 1 species